rnacentral:lncRNA from 1 species
UUAAGCCAUUUGAUUCGGGUCUUUAAAUCAAAUAGCACCACCCACUAUUUUUGGCAAAUUCCAUAUCCCUCAAUGGAAUUCGAGAGUUAUGUUGAACUCUUAGCGGAGUAUGGGAGGCUCACCAUUACCAAGCCCACCUCAGAAGAAUAUCAUAUUGGCUAGCAACAAUAAUGAUGAGAGGAUAACGCUUUAGCCAUUUACAACUUUUAUAAUUACCCAUCUAGUUUGGCCUCUAGAGAAUGAUGUCUCAGAAGAAUAUCAUAUUGGCACCAUUGCACUUAGUUAAGUCAUUCCCACCAUGCUAGUUCAAGUAGAGGGUUCAAGAAUGGCCUCAGAAGAAUAUCAUAUUGACCGUACUCGUUGCCUACCUUCACUUCAUCAUAUGUUUAUAGGAUUCUCCUGAAUGUAAGCACAUACUUUGCAUACCCCAGAAUUGGACGAAUACGGUGUAUGAGUCACAAACGAUUGAAGCCCACCAUGGUGGAAGGCCACGAAAGAGUGUUCAAGCACUCUCACGCUUAUCAACUUAAUAAUAGUUUGGUUGAGGGUUUUAGGUCUCAUCAUAUAUAAACAUUCAUUUUAAUCUAUUAAAACCAUUUGGUCCUAUUACAACUAUUGGUCCAUGUGAUUGAUUUAGUAGUAUAUAAUACUCCCACUAAGCUUGUAAAACGGUUUUUAAAGCAAGAGUAUAUGGUACUACUAACAUAAGGUUUGCAUUCAUUGAUGGACUAUAUAGUUGCCUUAGGGCCUUAGGAUGAUUAUGAACCUUUGAUAAGAUCCAACACGCGCCUAGUGUUGAAUCUCGGUCUAGGGAUGGUGAUUGAUUUUAGUUACGCGUUUAAUCACAUUAAGGCGUCUUGUCUUAUUGGGCGUUGGACCCGCUACUUCAUUUUCAUGCAUAUCAAAUAAAACAAGAAAAUGAGUACUUCAAAGUAAAGAAGAGCUUAUGCUCUUUUACAACAUUUGAAUAAUACAAAUUACUUUAAAGUAAAGAAGAGCUUAUGCUCUUUUACAACAUUUGAUCAAAUCAAAUUACAACCAAAAUCUAAUCUACACAUUCCCAUGGUUCAAACAAAUUUGAAACGGCCUUUCACAUAACUCAAUCAUCUUAGGCUUAGGUUCAUAAUCACCCUUUAAUUAAUUAACGCUUUAACUAAUUAAACUUGAAUGCAACAUUGUCAUUUGGUUUUUUGUAUCCAUAAAAUUGAUUUAAAUGGAGCUAGAUGAAAUGAAAAUCAAAUUCUCAUUUAAAGAGACAAAACCAUUUUGUUCUCAACUUAAUUUGGGCCAUAAUGCAAUAACCUCAACUUUUGGGCUAUGUUGCAAAACUUAAACUUUUGAGGUCACUUUGUAAAAACACAAAAGUCCACUACUUCAUGUAAUUACAACUAGAACCCAAAAAUUUCAUCAAAUACAAAAACUUCAUUAAAGGAGCAAAACAAUUUGACCUUUAGCGUUUUUGGGCCUUUACGUAAAAACGUAAACUUUUGGGUCAAACUUGCAAAUACACAAAAGUACCAAAACUUUAUGUAAUUGCAUAAAAGCCCCAAAAGCCCCCCACUUGUAGGGUGGCCGGUUUUAGAGAGAAUGAGGAAUGCAAAAUUUUGAAAUUUUUCAACAAAGUCAUAAAGCCAUGCAAGUGGUGUGUGUGACAUAAAUUCAUGCAAGUGGUGUGUGUGUGUAAGAGAAGUACUUCUUACACACCCAUCACCAUUUCUAUCACCUUUCAAAUUUCAAUCACAUUAAAACAUUUGAUAAAGCACAAACCAAAGACUUUAUGAAAUAAAUCAAAACUUUGAAUCAAAACACCAAACUUUUUGUUCUUGGCUAAAAUGUCAAGAACAAUGAAGAACAUUCAUGAAAAACCCAUAAAAGCUUCAUGAACAUUUUUCAUCCAAAGACAUCCCAAAAACACUCAAACUUAAGGGAAAUAACAUAUAACCAAACUAGGGUACAUGGAGGUUCCAAAAGUUACUUGAAAACACUUUUAACAAGUCAAACAUGAACCCAAAAAUCCACCCUUUGGAUUUGG